AUACGGAGGGGAUUAGCGUUGUUCGGAAUUACUGGGCGUAAAGAGUUCGUAGGCGGAUAAGCAAGUAAGAGGUGGAAGCCCAGGGCUCAACCCUGGAACUGCCUUUUAAACUGCUUAUCUAGAGACCGGUAGAGGUUAGGGGAAUACCUAGUGUAGAGGUGAAAUUCGUAGAUAUUAGGUGGAACACCAGUGGCGAAGGCGCCUAACUGGACCGGUACUGACGCUGAGGAACGAAAGCGUGGGGAGCAAACAGGAUUAGAAACCCCAGUAGUCC
rnacentral:rRNA from 1 species